GAGGUGCUGGAAGGAGAGGAAGAGGGAGAGAAGGGGGGAGGAGGGAGAGAACGUGAGAUGCUGGCAGGGAGGAGCGGGCGGCAGGAGGGCCAGGUGGGGGUGAGUCCUCGCCGCCGUCCUCUGCUGCGUGUCCUCUCGGUCCCGGCUGCUGCAGGCAGCCCUCUAAACACACACAGGGCUCCCCCGACUCUGCCCCCCUCCCCUCUCAGCCCCACCAGGCCCCGCCCACACCACACCUGACACUUCUCCUUCCUCCAUUCCAGCCCUCUGCCCACAACUUCGAAGGAAACCCUAAAUCACCUUGGGGUCAAGUGACAGGAGACCGGCACUGGGGCCGUGGUGCUCGGGGAAAUCAUGUCUCCAAAACCUGCCCCACCUUCAGGCAGAAAGUUUGGGAAAGCUGCAGAGGCUUCCAUGAUUGUGGACCCCCAAAGCACCACGGGGGGCUGCUUGGACCAUAAACCCUCCACAAAUAAUCAAGAAGAGGUCAUCCUCUAGCCAUCCUCACACCAUCCAGAUGGGCCAUCCAGACUGAGAUGCCCACGGCUUGUCUGGCCUCCUGAGAACUUCGUGAGGCCGCCCAGCAACCCACAAAAUAGGUGGCAGAACUGUCCUGGUUUGCUCCAACUCAAGAAAUCCUUACUGCUGGGAACGUGCAAGAUUCCCCCUCCAACCCAGACAGAAAAAGAAUCUCCUUAAGAACAAGAAACCCGCGCCAGAGUGACCCACAAGGGGACAAGGGUUCGAGCCCUGGUCCGGGAAGAUCCCACAUGCCGCAGAGCAACUAAGCCCGUGAGCCACGACUACUGAGCCCUAGUGCCACAACUACUGAAGCCCACGCGCCUAGAGUCCGUUCUCAACAAGAGAAGCCACCGCCAUGAGAAGCCCACGCACCGCAACGAAGAGUAGCCCCCAUUCGCUGCAACUAGAGAAAACCCGCGUGCAGAAAUGAAGACCCAACACAGCCAAAAAUAAAUAAAUUUAUAAGGUACGAGA